rnacentral:rRNA from 1 species
GAAUUUUGGACAAUGUGCGAAAGACUGAUCCAGCAUUCCUGCGUGCAGGAUGAAGCCUUUCGGGUUUUAAACUGCUUUUGUACGGAACGAAAAUCUUUUGUUUAAUACCCUGGAGUAAUGACGGUACUGUAAGAAUAAGCGCCGGCUAGCUAUUUGCCAGCAGCCGCGGUAAUACGUAGGGUGCAAGCGUUAAUCGGAAUUACUGGGCGUAAAGCGUGCGCAGGCGGUUUUGUAAGACGGGGGUGAAAUCCCCGGGCUCAAGCUGGGAACUGCCUUUGUGACUGCAAGGCUAGAGUACGGGAGAGGGGGGUGGAAUUCCGCGUGUAGCAGUGAAAUGCGUAGAUAUGCGGAGGAACACCGAUGGCGAAGGCAACCCCCUGGGCCUGUACUGACGCUCAUGCACGAAAGCGUGGGAGCAAA